rnacentral:rRNA from 1 species
GUGGGGAAUCUUCCACAAUGGACGAAAGUCUGAUGGAGCAACGCCGCGUGAGUGAAGAAGGGUUUCGGCUCGUAAAGCUCUGUUGUCGGGGACGAAUGUGCAGUAUUUGAAUAAAGUAGUGCAAUGACGGUACCUGACGAGGAAGCCACGGCUAACUACGUGCCAGCAGCCGCGGUAAUACGUAGGUGGCAAGCGUUGUCCGGAAUUAUUGGGCGUAAAGGGAGCGCAGGCGGGAAGGUAAGUCGGUCUUAAAAGUGCGGGGCUCAACCCCGUGAUGGGAUCGAAACUAUCUUUCUUGAGUGCAGGAGAGGAAAGUGGAAUUCCUAGUGUAGCGGUGAAAUGCGUAGAUAUUAGGAGGAACACCAGUGGCGAAGGCGACUUUCUGGACUGUAACUGACGCUGAGGCUCGAAAGCCAGGGGAGCGAACGGGAUUAGAUACCCGGGUAGUCC